UACGUAGGGUGCGAGCGUUAUUCGGAAUUACUGGGCGUAAAGGGUGCGCAGGCGGCCGCGCAAGUCGAGUGUGAAAGCCCCGAGCUUAACUUGGGAAUUGCGCUCGAAACUACGUGGCUGGAGUGUGGCAGAGGAAGGUGGAAUUCCAGGUGUAGCGGUGAAAUGCGUAGAGAUCUGGAGGAACACCGAUGGCGAAGGCAGCCUCCUGGGCCAACACUGACGCUCAUGCACGAAAGCGUGGGGAGCAAACAGG
rnacentral:rRNA from 1 species